UUUAGUGUUUAGUGGUUAGAAGCAUAGGGUUUAGGGGUUAUGGGCUUAGGGUCUAGGGGGUAGUGGCUUAGGGUUUUGGAUUUAAGGGUUUAUAGGUUAAGGGUUUAGUGGUUUAGUGGUUUAAGGUUAUAUGGUUUAGGGUUUAAGGUUUAAGGUUUAAAGUUUAAAGUUUAGGGUUAAUUUAGGGUUUACAGUUUAGGGUGUAUGUUUAGGGUAUAAAGUUUAAGGUUUAUGAUUUAAUGUUAAG
rnacentral:lncRNA from 1 species